CCCAUCAACAGAUGAAUAGAUAAAGAAAAUGUGGUAUAUAGAGAGGCUGAUUAAUGGGUACGAGCAUACAGUCAGAUAAAAACAAUAGGUUCUAGUGUUCAAUAGCAAAGUAGGGUGGCUAGAAUCAACAAUAAUUGAUUGUAUAUUUCAAAACAGGUAGAAGAAAAUAGUUGAAAUGUUCCCAGCACAAAGACACAUGUUUUAGGUGACAGAAAUUUUAAAUACUCUGAUUUGGUCAUUAGGUAUUAUAUGCAUGUAGCAAAAUAUCACCUGUGAACCAUAAAUGAGAGUAAUUAUUAUGUAUCAAUUCAAAAAGUCAACCAAAACACCGGGGAAUGAUAGGCUGGUGCUCUUACUGGUUCCUUUACAGAUUCUCAAGAUUGUCGCAGUGACUGAGCAAUGAGUGAUUGUCAAAUUGCGUGAGCUUCUCUCAGCCAUGCAGUACAGCACACGGCCUUCAUUGGAAUAGACUUGCAGGAAACCCCGGAGGAAAGGGCCUGCUGUAGCGGCAGAUGCUAGGAAAGGUCUGUUUCCAUCUUUUCGAGUGGAGGCACACACACACCUGCAUACCAUUCAGAUGGAGCCCAGCUUGGAUUGCUGACUGCAACAAAUGCCUUCCAAUAUUUUGGUUAUAGGAAAAGAGUGAGAACAAUACCAUCCACCAUAGAAAUCACACAGAAAACACAGCCAGGGAGAAAGAUUUCGAUUGUGGCUCUGCUGUGAGGACAUCAGGAAAACCCUAUAGUCACAGCUCUAGAAUAGUAAUGUGUAUAUAAAUUGUAGCAACAGUGGAAAUAAGUGAUAUCAGUCAUGUCUCCUUGUGUUUAUUUGGCAUAUUACAAUUUUCAAAGCCCAUCAUUUCGCUGGACUGGCUGUGGGGUAUUGUAACACUCCCAUCUGUAGGGAGGACCUUGGGAGCCUGUGUGGUCUACAGAGCUGCUGACGUCAAAGCCAUUCUGCAGCCAGGAAAAGCGGAGCUCAGCUAGACGUACCCGUCCACGAUCACACACUGUUGCAGCGGGGGAAGACCUGCCACAUCUUCUUUUGGCCAGUUCACCUGAGUCUGAUGCUUAUUUUCCCUGCACUAUUUACUGUGAUCAGAGAGAUCAAAAUAGACCCUGCUUUAUCAGCUCAGAAGGCCCUAAUGUUAUGAAAACAAAGUUACCUAUCUUUCGAGCGUCCAGGGUCCGACUGGCACGGCAAAUUUCUAGAUUCCUAUAGUUCUAAAAUCUCUAAUAACAAGAGCUAUCAGACCCCUCCUAACUCUGAUUUACAACCCAGAUCAUUACAGCUCUGACUGGAUAGGGGACUGGCCUUGAAAAUAUUCUUUUCUGAUAAACAACUGCACACCUUAAGCCAGUUUCAGCAGCUUACACAGGCUGACCUCUUUUGACAUAAAGAGCCAAAUUCCACCUCACUUUAAUGCUAAAACCCAGCCUCAAAGUGAACAUGGGGUAUAUGUUCCAUAUAUGCUUACCUACUGUGCAUGCACUCGGCUGCCUCAUAAAUAGGCACAGCUUCCCCCCAAAACCUGUGCAGGAGACUGUCUCUUUCUGAUUUGCAAACUGAUACCUCAAAUAAAGCUUGCCUCCCUGUUACUUAGCUAUCCUAGUGGUCUUUGAAUGACGUCACCUAGCUCCCAGGUUGCAGUUUUGACUGACAGGCCCUCUCUCCUGUUGGAGUCUGAGCUUCUGGGACGGAUGCUGGGUGUACUCAGUGCUGGCUGGCGGUGAUCAGUACAAGGACUACCACAUCAUGGGUGCCCCUUUUGUGAAAUAAAGGAACAAAUGAGAGAAAGAGCCAUGAAUAAAAGCCAGACCUUGAUUCUGCAUCCAAAUGUCUCCUCAUCAGAGAACGCUGUGUCUCUCUGAACUAUUUUACUUGGUUAUAAAAGCACAAUGGUAAGAAGCCCCUUUAUUUCUUUGCUUUUUUUUUUGUUUUCAUUUUCUUUAAAAUAGGGCUUUGCAAUUGUUGUGUAUUCCAUCUUUACAAUAUUAAAAUGCAGGGCAUUGUUUUACGGAGAGAGACAAUUACUGCUACCUGUGUUCUGUAUUGAAACCACUUAUUCCACCUUCUUGUUCUCCACCGCCAAAAAAAAAAAAAGUGCUGAGGGAGUAUGGAAUUCAGA